rnacentral:rRNA from 1 species
GAUGAACGCUAGCGGGAGGCUUAACACAUGCAAGUCGAGGGGCAGCAUAGGGUAGCAAUACUCUGAUGGCGACCGGCAAACGGGUGAGUAACGCGUAUGUAACCUACCCUGUACAGGGGGAUAACCCGGAGAAAUUCGGACUAAUAUCCCAUAACAAUAUCCGGGGGCGAUCUUUGGAUAUUUAAAGUUCCGGCGGUACGGGAUGGGCAUGCGUAACAUUAGCUAGUUGGUAAGGUAACGGCUUACCAAGGCUUUGAUGUUUAGGGGUCCUGAGAGGGUGGUCCCCCACACUGGUACUGAGACACGGACCAGACUCCUACGGGAGGCAGCAGUGAGGAAUAUUGGUCAAUGGGCGCAAGCCUGAACCAGCCAUCCCGCGUGCAGGAAGACGGCGCUAUGCGUUGUAAACUGCUUUUCCAGGGAGAGAAACUUGCGCACGUGUUGCGCAAUUGACGGUACCCUGGGAAUAAGCAGUCGGACUAACUCCGUGCCAGCAGCCGACGGUAACUGUAGUCGU